UACGGAGGGUGCGAGCGUUGUCCGGAAUCACGGGGCGUAAAGGGCGCGUAGGCGGCGCGGGAAGUCAUCGGUGAAAGUUCAGGGCUCAACUCUGAAUCGGCCGGUGAUACUCUCGUGCUUGAGCACUGUAGAGGCAGGUGGAAUUCCGGGUGUAGCGGUGGAAUGCGUAGAGAUCCGGAAGAACACCGGUGGCGAAGGCGGCCUGCUGGGCAGUAGCUGACGCUGAUGCGCGACAGCGUGGGGAGCAAACAGG
rnacentral:rRNA from 1 species